CCUACGGGUGGCAGCAGUGAGGAAUAUUGGUCAAUGGGCGCGAGCCUGACCCAGCCAAGUCGCGUGAAGGAUGCCUGCCCUACGGGUUGUAGACUUCUUUUAUCAAGGAAUAAAGUGAGGCACGUGUGCCUUUUUGUCUGUCCUUUAUGAAUCAGGAUCGCCUAACUCCGUGCCAGCAGCCUCGGUAAUACGGAGGCUCCGGGCGUUAUCCGUAUUUAGUGGGUGUAAAGGGUACGGAGAUGGGAUGUUAAGUCAGGUGUGAAAGUAGGCGGCUCAACCGUAGAAUUGCAAUUGAUACUGGCAGUCUUGAGUACAGUAGAGGUAGGCGGAAUUCGUGGUGUAGCGGUGAAAUGCUUAGAUAUCACGAAGAACUCCGAUUGCGAAGGCAGCUUACUAAACUGCAACUGACAUUGAUGAUCGAAAGUGUGGGUAUCAAACAGGAUUAGAUACCCGGGUAGUC
rnacentral:rRNA from 1 species